rnacentral:rRNA from 1 species
AGCUCCAAUAGCGUAUAUUAAAGUUGUUGCAGUUAAAAAGCUCGUAGUUGAAUUUGUGGCUUACGAUGGGCUCACAUUGCUUGUUUGUGAUGUUGCUGGCUGUUGUUGCCAUCCUUGGGUGGAAUCUGUGUGGCAUUAGGUUGUCGUGCAGGGAAUACCCAUCGUUUACUGUGAAAAAAUUAGAGUGUUCAAAGCAGGCUUAUGCCAAUGAAUAUAUUAGCAUGGAAUAAUGAGAUAGGACCUUGGUACUAUUUUGUUGGUUUGCGCAUUGAGGUAAUGGUUAACAGGAACAGUUGGGGGUAUUCGUAUUUCAUUGUCAGAGGUGAAAUUCUUGGAUUUUUGAAAGACGAACUACUGCGAAAGCAUUUACCAAGGAUGUUUUCAUUAAUCAAGAACGAAA